UACGUAGGUGGCAAGCGUUUGUCCGGAUUUACUGGGCGUAAAGGGCGUGCAGGCGGUUUGUUAAGUGCAGGGUGAAAGCUCCCGGCUCAACUGGGAGAGGUCCUUGCAUACUGGCGAACUCGAGGGAGGCAGAGGAAAGUGGAAUUCCCGGUGUAGUGGUGAUAUGCGUAGAUAUCGGGAGGAACACCUGUGGCGAAGGCGGCUUUCUGGGCCUUACCUGACGCUGAGACGCGAAAGCGUGGGGAGCGAACCGG
rnacentral:rRNA from 1 species